rnacentral:rRNA from 1 species
GAACUUAAGCAUAUCAAUAAGCGGAGGAAAAGAAACCAACAGGGAUUGCCUCAGUAACGGCGAGUGAAGCGGCAAGAGCUCAAAUUUGAAAGCUGGCUCCUUCGGGGUCCGCAUUGUAAUUUGCAGAGGAUGUUUCGGGAGCAGCCCCCAUCUAAGUGUCCUGGAACGGACCGUCAUAGAGGGUGAGAAUCCCGUAUGGGAUGGGGUGUCUGCGCCCAUGUGAAACUCCUUCGACGAGUCGAGUUGUUUGGGAAUGCAGCUCUAAAUGGGUGGUAAAUUUCAUCUAAAGCUAAAUAUUGGCCGGAGACCGAUAGCGCACAAGUAGAGUGAUCGAAAGAUGAAAAGCACUUUGAAAAGAGAGUUAAAAAGCACGUGAAAUUGUUGAAAGGGAAGCGCUUGCGAUCAGACUCGCCUUGGGGGUUCAGCCGGCAUUCGUGCCGGUGUACUUCCCCCAGGGCGGGCCAGCGUCGGUUUGGGUGGCCGGUCAAAGGCCCUUGGAAUGUAACGCCUCUCGGGGCGUCUUAUAGCCAAGGGUGCCAUGCGGCCUACCUGGACCGAGGAACGCGCUUCGGCUCGGACGCUGGCAUAAUGGUCGUAAGCGACCCGUCUUGAAACACGGACCAAGGAGUCUAACAUCUACGCGAGUGUUCGGGUGUCAAACCCGUGCGCGCAGUGAAAGCGAACGGAGGUGGGAACCCUUUGGGUGCACCAUCGACCGAUCCUGAUGUCUUCGGAUGGAUUUGAGUAAGAGCGUAGCUGUUGGGACCCGAAA